GCUUAACACAUGCAAGUCGAACGAGAUCUUCGGAUCUAGUGGCAGACGGGUGAGUAACGCGUGGGAACCUGCCCUUUAGUAGAGAAUAACUCGGGGAAACUCGAGCUAAUACUUUAUACGCCCUUCGGGGGAAAGCUUUAUGCGCUAUUGGAUGGGCCCGCGUUAGAUUAGUUUGUUGGUGAGGUAACGGCUCACCAAGGCGACGAUCUAUAGCUGGUCUGAGAGGAUGAUCAGCCACACUGGGACUGAGACACGGCCCAGACUCCUACGGGAGGCAGCAGUGGGGAAUAUUGGACAAUGGGGGCAACCCUGAUCCAGCGAUGCCGCGUGAGUGAUGAAGGCCCUAGGGUUGUAAAGCUCUUUUGUCAGGGAAGAUAAUGACGGUACCUGAAGAAUAAGAUCCGGCUAACUCCGUGCCAGCAGCCGCGGUAAUA
rnacentral:rRNA from 1 species